UGGGGAAUUUUGGACAAUGGGCGAAAGCCUGAUCCAGCAAUGCCGCGUGUGUGAAGAAGGCCUUCGGGUUGUAAAGCACUUUUGUCCGGAAAGAAAUCCUUGGCUCUAAUACAGUCGGGGGAUGACGGUACCGGAAGAAUAAGCACCGGCUAACUACGUGCCAGCAGCCGCGGUAAUACGUAGGGUGCAAGCGUUAAUCGGAAUUACUGGGCGUAAAGCGUGCGCAGGCGGUUUGCUAAGACCGAUGUGAAAUCCCCGGGCUCAACCUGGGAACUGCAUUGGUGACUGGCAGGCUAGAGUAUGGCAGAGGGGGGUAGAAUUCCACGUGUAGCAGUGAAAUGCGUAGAGAUGUGGAGGAAUACCGAUGGCGAAGGCAGCCCCCUGGGCCAAAUACUGACGCUCAUGCACGAAAGCGUGGGGAGCAAACAGGAUUAGAUACCCUGGUAGUCCACGCCCUAAACGAUGUCAACUAGUUGUUGGGGACUUCAUUUCCUUAGUAACGUAGCUAACGCGUGAAGUUGACCGCCUGGGGAGUACGGUCGCAAGAUUAAAACUCAAAGGAAUUGACGGGGU
rnacentral:rRNA from 1 species